rnacentral:piRNA from 1 species
UCCUAUUCCACAUCCACUUCUCUGUUUCCCC